UUGAUGACGAGUGGCGGACGGGUGAGUAAUGCUUGGGAAUCUAGCUUAUGGAGGGGGAUAACUACGGGAAACUGUAGCUAAUACCGCGUAAUAUCGAAAGAUUAAAGUGUGGGACCUUCGGGCCACAUGCCAUAGGAUGAGCCCAAGUGGGAUUAGGUAGUUGGUGAGGUAAAGGCCUACCAAGCCGAUGAUCUCUAGCUGGUCUGAGAGGAUGACCAGCCACACCGGGACUGAGACACGGCCCGGACUCC
rnacentral:rRNA from 1 species